GCCGGAAUAGCUCAGUCGGU
rnacentral:tRNA from 1 species